CUUAUCUUAUAACAAUGCCGCAUGAAACCAGUAGAGGCUGAAAAUAUUUCUUUCUAUCCUGCAUUACACAGCCCAUCUUUCAGUGAUAGAAAGAAGCAAGUGAUCAUCUUUAGUCUUGAUGCUUGUGAAUUAUGACUCAUCCUCAGCUUGCGAAUCUGGAAUUGGGUGCCCAGAAGUCAAAGUCCAGACAUUUAAAAGCCCAAAACUGUUGUCUUAACACAAUUCUGAAGAACUAUCAUGGUUCCAGAGCUUCUCAGAAGGUUGUCUGAGGUCUCAGUUAAACUGCGUGGCAGUUCAGAAAACACCAGCGGUCAUAGGACUUGUCCCAUCAUCUGCACAAGGCUGGUGAAUGGCUCAGGUAGAAUGAAAACUGACAACCUAGACCACUUAAUCUGUGGAGAGUCCAGGGGCCAGACACAAUGAGGAUAAGCACUGCAAGGAAGACGAUCGCAAACCAGCCUCUGGAAAACCCAUCCAUACACGCUGCAAGUUCUCUUUUUAUAGACUGAAAUGGAAGUGUAUUUAUUUGGUUUUCUAUAUAAAUUUUCCUUGGAACUGAGGGCUUAUUCACUUCAUUACCUCCAGCAGACUUAUAGUGAGAAUAGAAUUUGUCAACAAUUACUUAAUAUGGAAACUUGGCAAUGUAGAAAAUGAUUUUACAUUCUUAAACUUGAACAAGGACAUUCAGACAGCAGAAAAAACUAAUUAAUUUAACCCUUGGUAACAGAAUAACUGACUUGAUUAGGAAUUGAGCAUGGGUGUAGCAAUGCUUAGUUGUACUGAUUCACAAGAGCAGAGCCUAUUGUUAAAAUUUCAGAAAUUCUGCAAACUUGUUGAUGCCAUAGAGUCUUUGUUAAAAAUUUAAUUAUGUAGGCUCAUAAUUAAAUAAAUUACAUCAAAAACAAAGCUAAAAUAGUUGU
rnacentral:lncRNA from 13 species